AGAGUUUGAUUCUGGCUCAGAACGAACGCUGGCGGCAUGCCUAACACAUGCAAGUCGAACGCUUUUGGGGCUUCGGCCCCAAGGGAGUGGCGCACGGGUGAGUAGCGCGUGGGAACCUGCCCUGUUGUGGGGGAUAACCGAGGGAAACUUCGGCUAAUACCGCAUAAGCCGGUUGUCUUGAGAGAGAUGGCCGGGAAAGAUUUAUCGCGACAGGAGGGGCCCGCGUCGGAUUAGCUAGUUGGUGGGGUAACGGCCCACCAAGGCAGUGAUCCGUAGCUGGUCUGAGAGGAUGAUCAGCCACACUGGGACUGAGAUACGGCCCAGACUCCUACGGGAGGCAGCAGUGGGGAAUAUUGGACAAUGGGCGCAAGCCUGAUCCAGCAAUGCCGCGUGAGUGAUGAAGGCCUUAGGGUUGUAAAGCUCUUUCGCCCGCGACGAUGAUGACGGUAGCGGGAGAAGAAGCCCCGGCUAACUUCGUGCCAGCAGCCGCGGUAAUACGAAGGGGGCGAGCGUUGUUCGGAUUUACUGGGCGUAAAGGGCGCGUAGGCGGCCCUCCUUGUCGCGUGUGAAAGCCCCGGGCUCAACCUGGGAAUUGCGCGCGAAACGGGGGGGCUUGAGUUCGGGAGAGGAGCGUGGAAUUCCCAGUGUAGAGGUGAAAUUCGUAGAUAUUGGGAAGAACACCGGUGGCGAAGGCGGCGCUCUGGACCGAGACUGACGCUGAGGCGCGAAAGCGUNNNGAGCAAACAGGAUUAGAUACCCUGGUAGUCCACGCCGUNNNCGAUGUGUGCUAGACGUUGGNNAG
rnacentral:rRNA from 1 species